rnacentral:rRNA from 1 species
AGGACGAACGCUGGCGGCGUGCUUUAACACAUGCAAGUCGAGCGGAAAGGCCCUUCGGGGUACUCGAGCGGCGAACGGGUGAGUAACACGUGAGCAAUCUGCCCUUAGCUUCGGGAUAGCCCCGGGAACCGGGAUUAAUACCGAAUACGACCUCGGCCGACAUCGGCUUUGGUGGAAAGUUUUUUCGGCUAGGGAUGAACUCGCGGCCUAUCAGCUUGUUGGUGGGGUAAUGGCCUACCAAGGCGACGACGGGUAGCCCGG